UGAGUUUGAUCCUGGCUCAGGAUAAACACUGGCGGCGUGCAUUAGGCAUGCAAGUGGAACGAUCUUCCGGCUUGCCGGAAGAGAGUCGCGAACGGCUGAGUAACAGGUAAGUAUCUACCUUUUAGUGGGGAAUAGCUCCCGGAAACGGGGAUUAAUACCGCAUAAGAUCGUAAGAUGAAAGCUUUAAUUUAUUAAGGCGCUGAAAGAGGAACUUGCUUCCCAUCAGCUAGUUGGUGUGGUAAUGGCGCACCAAGGCUACGACGGGUAGGGGGCGUGAGAGCGCGUACCCCCAGAAUGGGACUGAGACACGGCCCAUACACCUACGGGUGGCAGCAACCGGGAAUUGUGCGCAAUGGACGAAAGUCUGACGCCGCGACGCCGCGUGAGGGAUGAGGGUCUUCGGAUCGUAAACCUCUUUUGCCACGUUUGAGAAAACGUGGAGAAUAAGUACUUGCUAACUCUGUGCCAGCAGCAGCGGUAAUACAGAGAGUACGAGUGUUGUCCGGAUUUACUGGGCGUAAAGCGUUUCGCAGGUGGUUUGAUAAGUCGUGCUUCAAAAACCGAGGCUUAACCUCGGGAAGGGGUGCGAUACUAUCAGACUUGAAGAUUGUCGGGGUUACUGGAACUGUCGGUGUAGGGGUGAAAUCCGUUGAUAUCGACAGGAACUCCAAGGGCGAAGGCAGGUAACUAGGCAAUAUUUGACACUCAUGAACGAAAGCUAGGGGAGCGAAAGGGAUUAGAGACCCCUGUAGUCCUAGCCGUAAACUUUGCUCGCUAGCUCUCCGAGUUUACUCGGUGGGCGUAAGCUAACACGUGAAGCGAGCCGCCUGGGGAGUACGGCCGCAAGGCUAAAACUCAAAGGAAUUGACGGGGACCCGCACAACCAGUGGAGCAUGUGGUUUAAUUCGAGACGAACCGAAGAACCUUACCUGGACUUGACAUACUACCGUUUAGGAACCUAGAAAUAGGAUCUGAUCUUGCAAUCUGUAAGAUGGUAGAACAGGUGUUGCAUGGCUACCGUCAGCUCGUGCCGUGGGGUGUUCCCUUAAGUGGGGUAACGAGCGCAACCCUUGCCGUAUGUUGAAUAUUCAUACGGAACUAUUGGUCUUUGUACCAAAGGAAGUGGGGAUGACGUUAAGUCAGCAUGGCCCUUAUGUCCAGGGCUACACACAUGCUACAAUGAGGCCGACAAUGAGUUGCCAAGCCGCGAGGCGGAGCUAAUCUCAUCAAACGGCCUCUCAGUGGGGAUUGAAGGCUGCAAUUUGCCUUCAUGAACGCGGAAUUGGUAGUAAUCGGAGGUCAGCAAAACUCCGGUGAAUACGUUCUCGGGUCUUGUACACACCGCCCGUCAAGGCAGCAAAGUUGGGGGCACCCGAAUCCCGAUUGUAUCGGGAGAAGGUGAACUCAGCGAUGAGGCUUAAGUCGUAACAAGGUAGCC
rnacentral:rRNA from 1 species